rnacentral:misc_RNA from 1 species
AUACAGAUAUGUUCGGUGA